rnacentral:rRNA from 1 species
AGAGUUUGAUCCUGGCUCAGAACGAACGCUGGCGGCAGGCCUAACACAUGCAAGUCGAGCGCCCGCAAGGGAGCGGCAGACGGGUGAGUAACGCGUGGGAACGUGCCCUUUGGUUCGGAAUAUUCCCGGGAAACUGGGAGCAAAACCGGAUAAGCCCUUCGGGGGAAAGUUUACGCCAAAGGAUCGGCCCGCGUUAGAUUAGGUAGUUGGUGGGGUAACGGCCUACCAAGCCUACGAUCUAUAGCUGAUCUGAGAGGAUGAUCAGCCACACUGGGACUGAGACACGGCCCAGACUCCUACGGGAGGCAGCAGUGGGGAAUCUUGGACAAUGGGCGCAAGCCUGAUCCAGCCAUGCCGCGUGGAUGACUGAAGGCCCUAGGGUUGUAAAGUCCUUUCGACGGGGACGAUAAUGACGGUACCCGUAGAAGAAGCCCCGGCUAACUUCGUGCCAGCAGCCGCGGUAAUACGAAGGGGGCUAGCGUUGUUCGGAUUUACUGGGCGUAAAGGGCGCGUAGGCGGAUUUUUAAGUCGGGGGUGAAAUCCCGGAGCUCAACUCCGGAACUGCCUUCGAUACUGGAAGUCUGGAGCACGGUAGAGGUGAGUGGAAUUCCGAGUGUAGCGGUGAAAUGCGUAGA